AAGACCAAGGGUUCCUGUCCAACGUUAAUCGGGGCAGGGUGAGUCGACCCCUAAGGCGAGGCCGAAAGGCGUAGUCGAUGGGAAACAGGUUAAUAUUCCUGUACUUGGUGUUACUGCGAAGGGGGGACGGAGAAGGCUAUGUUGGCCGGGCGACGGUUGUCCCGGUUUAAGCGUGUAGGCUGGUUUUCCAGGCAAAUCCGGAAAAUCAAGGCUGAGGCGUGAUGACGAGGCACUACGGUGCUGAAGCAACAAAUGCCCUGCUUCCAGGAAAAGCCUCUAAGCAUCAGGUAACAUCAAAUCGUACCCCAAACCGACACAGGUGGUCAGGUAGAGAAUACCAAGGCGCUUGAGAGAACUCGGGUGAAGGAACUAGGCAAAAUGGUGCCGUAACUUCGGGAGAAGGCACGCUGAUAUGUAGGUGAAGUCCCUCGCGGAUGGAGCUGAAAUCAGUCGAAGAUACCAGCUGGCUGCAACUGUUUAUUAAAAACACAGCACUGUGCAAACACGAAAGUGGACGUAUACGGUGUGACGCCUGCCCGGUGC
rnacentral:rRNA from 1 species